rnacentral:rRNA from 1 species
UACAGAGGUCCCAAGCGUUGUUCGGAUUCACUGGGCGUAAAGGGUGCGUAGGUGGUCGGGUAAGUUUGAUGUGAAAUCUCCGAGCUUAACUCGGAAAUGGCAUUGGAUACUAUUCGACUGGAGGGUUGGAGGGGGGACUGGAAUUCUCGGUGUAGCAGUGAAAUGCGUAGAUAUCGAGAGGAACACCAGUGGCGAAGGCGAGUCCCUAGACAACUCCUGACACUGAGGCACGAAAGCUAGGGGAGCAAACAGG